GUUUUGGGAAGGUAUGAUAAGAAAAU
rnacentral:piRNA from 1 species